rnacentral:rRNA from 1 species
AAACGGACGCUAAUACCGCAUACGUCCUACGGGAGAAAGCAGGGGACCUUCGGGCCUUGCGCUAUCAGAUGAGCCUAGGUCGGAUUAGCUAGUUGGUGAGGUAAUGGCUCACCAAGGCGACGAUCCGUAACUGGUCUGAGAGGAUGAUCAGUCACACUGGAACUGAGACACGGUCCAGACUCCUACGGGAGGCAGCAGUGGGGAAUAUUGGACAAUGGGCGAAAGCCUGAUCCAGCCAUGCCGCGUGUGUGAAGAAGGUCUUCGGAUUGUAAAGCACUUUAAGUUGGGAGGAAGGGUACUUACCUAAUACGUGAGUAUUUUGACGUUACCGACAGAAUAAGCACCGGCUAACUCUGUGCCAGCAGCCGCGGUAAUACAGAGGGUGCAAGCGUUAAUCGGAAUUACUGGGCGUAAAGCGCGCGUAGGUGGUUCGUUAAGUUGGAUGUGAAAUCCCCGGGCUCAUCCUGGAAACUGCAUCUAAAACUGGAGGA